GGAUCCGUAGCUUGGAGGAAAUAAGCGUCCGUGUAGUGAAUUGGGAGUCGUGGGUUCAAUUCCCACCGGAUACU
rnacentral:tRNA from 1 species